CCUACGGGAGGCAGCAGUGAGGAAUAUUGGUCAAUGGACGAGAGUCUGAACCAGCAAAGUAGCGUGAAGGAUGACUGCCCUAUGGUUUGUAAACUUCUUUUAUAUGGGAAUAAAAUGUUCCACGUGUGGGAUUUUGUAUGUCCCAUAUGAAUACGGAUCGGCUAACUCCGUGCCAGCAGCCGCGGUAAUACGGAGGAUCCGAGCGUUAUCCGGAUUUAUUGGGUUUAGAGGGAGCGUAGGUGGAUUGUUAAGUCAGUUGUGAAAGUUUGCGGCUCAACCGUAAAAUUGCAGUUGAAACUGGCAGUCGUGAGUACAGUAGAGGUAGGCGGAAUUCGUGGUGUAGCGGUGAAAUGCUUAGAGAUCACGAAGAACUCCGAUUGCGAAGGCAGCUCACUAGACUGCAACUGACACUGAGGCUCGAAAGUGUGGGUAUCAAACAGGAUUAGAUACCCUAGUAGUC
rnacentral:rRNA from 1 species